rnacentral:lncRNA from 1 species
AAAAGUGUCUCAUCAAAUUGACAGUCUGCAAAUCGUGCAGUGUACAAAUCCCCUGUCAAUGUUUCGAGGUAGCGAAUAAUGGAGGACGAUUCAAACUACAUAUAUUCCUAACCUUCUUGCGGACCCAUUUUGGUGCGGGAUGGCGGUGCUAUAGGCACAUAUACUGCGCAUCCAAAGAUUCUUAAAUGGGAUAUGUUAGGUUCAUGACCCAAAACCAAUUGCAACGGGGGAAUAUUUGUGUCAAUUCGUCGGUCAGAGACGAACUAGCAUUGCUGUAUGCUAAAUGGCGUGACCCUAAGCUGAAGUGGGCAGCCGACGAACUAGCAUUGUUGCAUGUAAAAUGG